rnacentral:rRNA from 1 species
AUUGAACGCUGGCGGCGUGCUUAACACAUGCAAGUCGAGCGGUAACAGGCGUAGCAAUACGUGCUGACGAGCGGCGAACGGGUGCGUAAUACAUCGGAAUCUGCCUCGUAGUGGGGAAUAACCCGGCGAAAGCCGGGCUAAUGCCGCAUACGAUCCACGGAUGAAAGCGGGGACGUAAGGCUCGCGCUAUGAGAUGAGCCGAUGUCGGA